GCACGAAGGUUUCGGCCUUAGUGGCGGACGGGUGAGUAACGCGUAGGGAUCUAUCCACGGGUGGGGGACAACUUCGGGAAACUGGAGCUAAUACCGCAUGAUACCUGAGGGUCAAAGGCGCAAGUCGCCUGUGGAGGAACCUGCGUUCGAUUAGCUAGUUGGUGGGGUAAAGGCCUACCAAGGCGAUGAUCGAUAGCUGGUUUGAGAGGAUGAUCAGCCACACUGGGACUGAGACACGGCCCAGACUCCUACGGGAGGCAGCAGUGGGGAAUAUUGGACAAUGGGGGAAACCCUGAUCCAGCAAUGCCGCGUGUGUGAAGAAGGUCUUCGGAUUGUAAAGCACUUUCGACGGGGACGAUGAUGACGGUACCCGUAGAAGAAGCCCCGGCUAACUUCGUGCCAGCAGCCGCGGUAAUACGAAGGGGGCUAGCGUUGCUCGGAAUGACUGGGCGUAAAGGGCGCGUAGGCGGUUUGGACAGUCAGAUGUGAAAUCCCCGGGCUUAACCUGGGAACUGCAUUUGAUACGUCCAGACUAGAGUUCGAGAGAGGGUUGUGGAAUUCCCAGUGUAGC
rnacentral:rRNA from 1 species